GUACUCCGGAGAAGCUGCGUUAACCGCAGUGCCGAAGGUGCAACAGUAUUGUUUACUGAAAUCUCUCAGGCAAAAGGACGGAGAAU
rnacentral:ncRNA from 1 species